CCGCCGAUAGCUCAAUGUCAGAGCACCGUGCUCUUUACACGGGAGAUGCAGCGUUCAAUUCCUGCUCGGCGGACCA
rnacentral:tRNA from 1 species